rnacentral:rRNA from 1 species
UACGUAGGGCGCAAGCGUUGUCCGGAAUUAUUGGGCGUAAAGAGCUCGUAGGUGGUUUGUCGCGUUGUUCGUGAAAUGCCACAGCUUAACUGUGGGCGUGCGGGCGAUACGGGCAGACUGGAGUACUGCAGGGGAGACUGGAAUUCCUGGUGUAGCGGUGGAAUGCGCAGAUAUCAGGAGGAACACCGGUGGCGAAGGCGGGUCUCUGGGCAGUAACUGACGCUGAGGAGCGAAAGCGUGGGGAGCGAACAGG